UACGUAGGUGGCAAGCGUUAUCCGGAUUUACUGGGUGUAAAGGGCGUGUAGGCGGGUCUGCAAGUCAGAUGUGAAAUCUCCGGGCUUAACUCGGAAGUGUCAUCUGAAACUACGGAUCUUGAGUACUGGAGAGGAUAGUGGAAUUCCUAGUGUAGCGGUAAAAUGCGUAGAUAUUAGGAGGAACACCAGUGGCGAAGGCGGCUAUCUGGACAGUAACUGACGCUGAGGCGCGAAAGCGUGGGGAGCAAACAGGAUUAGAUACCCCGGUAGU
rnacentral:rRNA from 1 species